UGAUGAAGACAGCUUGUCUGUCGAAACGUUGGACAUUAGGUUAUUACAUUUUUGCAUCUGAGCUCCUAGAGUGUGCGGCUCUCCUAUAUUUUUUAAGUGUCCACAAGAGGUCACCAUGUCCUUAGUAGUUGUAUUAGUAGUUUACUUUGUUCUGGCAGUGUUCGUUCGACUGGAUAUGGUCGUUUGAUAGGGAAAUGUUCUUCUUUUCUCGUCUUCGGUCCAGUUUCCUAGACUACGUUACAUGCAGAGCUGCAGGCGACGCAUGUCUAGUCUUCUUCCCUGUUGAGUUUGAGAGGGUCUUACCCUUUUCUGGUCUGGUAGAGUCUAGCCAUAUUACACGUGUAGCCACAGCUCCAUGAUUUCUUGUCUCAAUGGGUGAUUAUUCAGGGUACAGCUAAGACCACUUUCCACACUGGCAGCAACCCGGCAUGUUUUGGUCUAAUGUACAUUUCGUUAGGAGUCCUUUUAUAGGCACUCUGGAAAAAGGGGUGUUCCAUCCUUUUGGCAUAAUGUCUAUGCUCACGUGGGCAUGGUUACUGACUGGAUAAAACUUUACAUGACAAAAAAUAUAUCUCAUCUAUCCUUAUCAGGUGGUAGCUGAAGUGAUGAUAUUGGUAAUAAUCUAUUUCCUCCAAUUCUUUUCUUCUACAGGUGCUUUGAAGGAUCCAUCCAAGGUGCAGACGCUGAGAGGCUCAGACACUGCCAAAUCCUUGGACAGUGAUGUUAGCGAUGUGUCCGCUAUGCCAUGUGCUUCUCGGCUCAGCAGCAUGAGCCACAUGUCUGUCCAGUCGGAGACGGCAAAGGGAAGCCACAACAUCAGUGAGGGCCAGUUGGAGGUGGGGACUUUGGCUGAGGUGGCUGAGGAAGUAGUGGGAGGAGCAGAAGGAGGCCGAGG
ensembl:lncRNA